rnacentral:lncRNA from 1 species
CUCGAUCCAAUAGCCUUAGGUAUGUCAAUCAUUAAAAUUUGAUUUUGACGGUCACGAACAAUCGUAUGAUGAUCUGAUAUAUAGAGAUCAUCGAUAGAUCUAAAAAUUUACAAUGAUGAUCUCGAUGAUAUUUAUAGCAUACUAUCAAAAUUUUUUUAAGCAAAUAUCAUUAUCAUGAUUAAUUUAGUACGAAAUAAUUUAGAUCGUUAAAUAAAAAAUGAGUGAUCAAAUGACCAAACGAUAUCCGAUUA